GUAGUCCACGCCCUAAACUAUGUCAACUGGUUGUCGGGGAAGCAAUUCCUUGGUAACGAAGCUAACGCGUGAAGCUGACCGCCUGGGGAGUACGGCCGCAAGGUUAAAACUCAAAGGAAUUGACGGGGACCCGCACAAGCGGUGGAUUAUGUGGAUUAAUUCGAUGCAACGCGAAAAACCUUACCUACCCUUGACAUGUACGGAAUCCCCCAGAGACGGGGGAGUGCCCGAAAGGGAGCCGUAACACAGGUGCUGCAUGGCUGUCGUCAGCUCGUGUCGUGAGAUGUUGGGUUAAGUCCCGCAACGAGCGCAACCCUUGCCAUUAGUUGCUACAUUCAGUUGGGCACUCUAAUGGGACUGCCGGUGACAAACCGGAGGAAGGUGGGGAUGACGUCAAGUCCUCAUGGCCCUUAUGGGUAGGGCUUCACACGUAAUACAAUGGCCGGUACAGAGGGCAGCCAACCCGCGAGGGGGAGCUAAUCCCAGAAAGCCGGUCGUAGUCCGGAUUGUAGUCUGCAACUCGACUGCAUGAAGCCGGAAUCGCUAGUAAUCGCGGAUCAGCAUGUCGCGGUGAAUA
rnacentral:rRNA from 1 species